GUGAAAUUGUUGAAAGGGAAACGAUUGAAGCCAGUCGUACCUGCGGACAAUCAGCCUUCCGUGUGUGAUUACGUGGGACCUGAGGAGCUAAACACCCUCUUGUUUGCGUAUUCGUGCUCGUGGGUGUACUUGCCCGUGUGGUAGGUUAACAUCAAUUUCGGGCAUCAUAAAAUGGUUGGAGGAAUGUGGCUUCGAUCUCGGUUGAAGUGUUAUAGCCUUCGGCAGAUGUGGUGAUCGGGAUUGAGGAUUGCAACGGAUACCCUUCGGGGCUACCUGUCUGAUCUCUGAUCGUUACUCUGGUGUCGAAAGCGUGCUUACGGUCAUCAAAGUUGAUGGUCAACAGGUUAGAAUGGGUUAAAUUCGUUAAGGAUGUUGACGUAAUGGCUUUAAACGAC
rnacentral:rRNA from 1 species